rnacentral:tRNA from 1 species
GAUAAGGUCAGCUAAUUAAGCUUUCGGGCCCAUACCCCGAACAUGACGGUUAAACCCCCUCCCCUAUCA